GAGCUGCGUGGUGUGGGAGUCUGAGACCUUGUUAUGCAUAGCUCCCCUUUGGGGGGCGAAAAGGCCCAGACCCGGGCUCUGGUGCUUUUCUAGAAGUUCCCAGGCCGAGGGCAACAGCUCCGGGGCUCCCCAGGAGCGAAACUGCCCUCCACAGCAAGCUUUUCUUCUUAAGGAGCGGGGUUGUAACAAGUUCAUACUGCAGCUCCAGCCAGGGAAGACAGAACCUUUGCCCGAGCUGCAGAGGCUGGAGGAUCCGAAGCCCAGGACGCCCCGGAAUGUGCCCGGCGCCCGUGCAGAACCUGCCCAGGGCGCGUUCCCGCAACCCUGGGCUCGCUGGGAAUUCCUAGACCGACCUAAGGGUCCUGGGGCUAGAAACCGCGCGCUGCCCUUGGGGCUCUGUUUUUAACGUCUCUAUCUGUGAAGCUGUUCACCCCUGUUCAAGUCCAACGCCAGGUACCCAGGUUUCGAACCAUCUUUAGUCUACUGACCUCCGGCUUAACGGCUUACUGCAGACUGUCCGGCGCUAUCCUGCGUGGAAUUUGGAGGAGCGGGUCACCGCGGGACAGAGGCUGAAGGAGGAGAGGGAUGCGCAGGUCUGCCGCCGCCCGAACACGAAAGACAACAGAGCGGUGCCUGGAGCUUAAUAGGCUUUAUUUAAUCAGGGGGUAAUUUUCUGCAUUCGGCGUCCUUGCAGAAUUCCCCGGAAAGCUAAACUUGGCGCGUGUGCAAAUAUAUUCUCCUGGAAGACUGAUCUUAAGAAAAACCGAGUUUGUGAGGGUUUGGAAACAGGGCUCCUGCAGAGGACUUUCCAGGCGAGAGUGGAAGGUGGCCCUGGGUUUUCUGUAAACUUUGUUAGGUUGUGUUGUGUUUUUAGCGGCCAGAAUAGGGGGUGAGAAGGUUCUUAUAUUCUGGCAGCUCAAAAUUAGUUCCACAAACCGCGUCUACAGUGGGGGUAAUUUAGAGAGGCAACGCAAUCGCUUCCAUCCCCCACCUGGCCUCCCGUGGGAAAAACAGAUUUGCGGAGGUGGGAAUUGUCUGGAUUAGCUGUCCACACUCAUCAAACCAUUUGGGCGAUUUGCUUUGUUUUCAUAGACAGGUUAAAAGGAGAGAAAGAAA
rnacentral:lncRNA from 1 species